rnacentral:lncRNA from 1 species
GGGAACUUUGUCCGUGUAAUUCAGACUUUCAAUCGCACACAUUUGUAUGUCUGUGGGAGUGGCGCUUUCAGUCCUGUCUGUACUUACUUGAACAGAGGGAGGAGAUCAGAGGGGAAUAUUUGAUGAGCCUACUUCGUGUUUGGAGCAUCACAUGCUUUUGUUAUACCCCAUUUCUCUUCUAUUAUUUGCGAGACUGAUUCAGAGCUUUCUGAGAUUUCAACAGUACUCACUCACCUAAAGAGCCUGGAAUCCUUGCUACAUGAAGACCUAACCACGGUUCUUCUCCUGUGUCUACUAUCUUUACUCCUUGUCUUCUGUUCCUGGAAAAAGAUAAAGCAAUACAAGUGAAUCAUGACUUUAAAUGAAUGAAUAAAACAUCAACAAAAA